rnacentral:sRNA from 1 species
GCGGAAUUCUCCACGAGUUUUGAGCAGCGUCGGUUUUCCCACCACCUCCAAAUCAUGCAAGACACAGGGUGCAGGCAGAGCCCCCGGAGCCAUGGCCAGCCCUUCCGGCAGCUCCGAAGCCACUGGCAAGCCCCGAGGCAGGGAUGGCCGGCCCAGGAGGGAGGAGGACGACGUCCCUCCCGAGGAGAAGAGGCUGCGCCUGGGGCUGGAGGGGGGAAGCGCACAGCCCGAGGACUGCGAGGACGGGGAGGACGCGCCGCGGCCGGGCAGGGAGGAGACCGGCACCCAGACAGGUGGCGACGGCAGAGGA